GACGAACGCUGGCGGCGUGCUUAACACAUGCAAGUCGAACGGAAAGGCCCUGCUUUUGUGGGGUUCUCGAUUGGCGAACGGGUGAGUAACACGCGAGUAACCUGCCCUUGACUUUGGGAUAACUUCAGGAAACUGGGGCUAAUACCGGAUAGGAGCUCCUGCUGCAUGGUGGUGGUUGGAAAGUUUCGGCGGUUGGGGAUGGACUGGCGGCUUAUCAGCUUGUUGGUGUGGUAGUGGCUUACCAAGGUUUUGACGGGUAGCCGGCCUGAGAGGGUGACCGGCCACAUUGGGACUGAGAUACGGCCCAGACUCCUAUGGGAGGCAGCAGUGGGGAAUAUUGCACAAUGGGCGGACGCCUGAUGCAGCAACGCCGGGUGCGGAAUACCGGCCUUCGGGUGGUAAACCGCUUUGGACUGUGCCGAAGCGUGAGUGACGGUAAUGGGUAAAGAAGCACCGGCUAACUACGUG
rnacentral:rRNA from 1 species